rnacentral:rRNA from 1 species
CAGCAGCCGCGGUAAGACGUAGGGGGCGAGCGUUGUCCGGAAUUACUGGGCGUAAAGAGCGUGUAGGCGGGCUGUUAAGUCAGGUGUGAAAGACCGCAGCUCAACUGCGGGGUGGCAUCUGAUACUGGCAGUCUUGAGGGCAGGAGAGGGAAGUGGAAUUCCUGGUGUAGCGGUGAAAUGCGUAGAUAUCAGGAGGAACACCAGUGGCGAAGGCGGCUUCCUGGACUGACCCUGACGCUGAGACGCGAAAGCGUGGGGAGCAAACAGGAUUAGAUACCCUGGUAGUCCACGCUGUAAACGAUGGGCACUAGGUGUAGGAGGUAUCGACCCCUUCUGUGCCGCAGCUAACGCAAUAAGUGCCCCGCCUGGGGAGUACGGUCGCAAGGCUGAAACUUAAAGGAAUUGGCGGG